CCUACGGGAGGCUGCAGUGAGGAAUAUUGGUCAAUGGGCGCGAGCCUGAACCAGCCAAGUAGCGUGAAGGAUGACUGCCCUACGGGUUGUAAACUUCUUUUAUAAAGGAAUAAAGUGAGGCACGUGUGCCUUUUUGUAUGUACUUUAUGAAUAAGGAUCGGCUAACUCCGUGCCAGCAGCCGCGGUAAUACGGAGGAUCCGAGCGUUAUCCGGAUUUAUUGGGUUUAAAGGGAGCGUAGGUGGGUUGUUAAGUCAGUUGUGAAAGUUUGCGGCGCAACCGUAAAAUUGCAAUUGAUACUGGCAGUCUUGAGUACAGUUGAGGUAGGCGGAAUUCGUGGUGUAGCGGUGAAAUGCUUAGAUAUCACGAAGAACUCCGAUUGCGAAGGUAGCCUACUAAACUGCCACUGACAUUGAGGCUCGAAAGUGUGGGUAUCAAACAGGAUUAGAUACCCGAGUAGUC
rnacentral:rRNA from 1 species